rnacentral:rRNA from 1 species
UAGGGAAUCUUCCGCAAUGGGCGAAAGCCUGACGGAGCAACGCCGCGUGAGUGAUGAAGGUCUUCGGAUCGUAAAACUCUGUUAUUAGGGAAGAACCACUGUGUAAGUAACUAUGCACGUCUUGACGGUACCUAAUCAGAAAGCCACGGCUAACUACGUGCCAGCAGCCGCGGUAAUACGUAGGUGGCAAGCGUUAUCCGGAAUUAUUGGGCGUAAAGCGCGCGUAGGCGGUUUUUUAAGUCUGAUGUGAAAGCCCACGGCUCAACCGUGGAGGGGCAUUGGAAACUGGAAAACUUGAGUGCAGAAGAGGAAAGUGGAAUUCCAUGUGUAGCGGUGAAAUGCGCAGAGAUAUGGAGGAACACCAGUGGCGAAGGCGACUUUCUGGUCUGUAACUGACGCUGAUGUGCGAAAGCGUGGGGAUCAAACAGG